GAUGAACGCUGGCGGCGUGCCUAAUACAUGCAAGUCGAGCGAACAGGCGAGGGGUUGGCUCCCCGGACGAGAGGGGCAGAGGGGUGAGAAGCACAUGGAAAACCCACCGUAGAGGGGGGGAAAACUUGGGGAAACCGGAGCUAAUAGCAUGAAAUCUAUUAAAGCGUGAGGUUUAAUAGAGAAGGGCAGUUGUUCUGUUACUAGAAGAUGCAGCCGGGUCUCAUUUGCUAGUUGGUGAGGUAACGGCUUACCAAGGCAACGAUGCGUAGCCGACCUGGGAGGGUGAUCGGCCACACUGGAACUGAGCCACGGUCCAGACUCCUACGGGAGGAGGAGGAAGGGAAUCUUCGGAAAGGGCCGAAAGCUUGACGGAGCAAGGCGGCGGGAGGGAUGAAGGUCUUCGGACCGUAAAACCCUGUUAUUAGGAAAGACCAAAUGUGUAAGUAAAUAUGCACGCCUUGACGGUACCUAACCAGAAAGCCACGGCUAACUACGUG
rnacentral:rRNA from 1 species